GGCGGCGUGUGCCCAGGAGGCCAACGAGGCCAAAGGCGUCCUGGCUUGUAUCGGCAAUAGUGUGGCCAGCAAGAGCACGGUAGUGAUUGACUCCCCUGUGCUCGGCGCUGGUGCUUCUUUGCUAUCCUGCUGAAAUUCCUCACCCCAGAAACCACAAGCUCAAAGAGCUCCGAGGCAGCAGAGAGGACGUGAACAAAGAGCUCCCUCCCUGCACUGCAGCUUGGAUCGGCUCCAAAACACUCACGGGCAGGAGGCAGACUGGAGACAUGCAGACAAGUAAUUUUUAGAAUAGACCUAGUUAUUAGCUGUUGCUUUCACUGGCACAACAUGCAGACACAAGCCUGUGAUUUUAGCCCAAUGGUGGCUUCAUAAAAUGCCUUCUCUAAGUCUCCUUCCAUCA